rnacentral:rRNA from 1 species
UCUAGAUCAAACAGCUUGUGUACUGCCGUCGUAAGCACACCUCUAAAAGAAAUAAGUAUGCAAUAAUGGUUAUUCCCAUAUACGUCAGGUCAAAGUGCAGCUUAUGAAAGGGAGAUGAUGGGUUACACCCUAAAUAAUGAUACCAAUUGAAGCAUUAAAAGCUUCAUGAAGGUGGACUUGGACGUAAYUAUAAUUCAAUAUUAUAGUGAAAACGAAUCUAAGACAUGCACACAUCGCCCGUCACUCUCGCCUAAAGGCGAGAUAAGUCGUAACAAAGUAGGUGUAACGGAAGUUGCACCUGU